AAUAUUUGACAUGGCAUCGGGAAUAUUUUAAGUUGUUGAUUAAAUAAUAGGCCGUUCCAAGAUGCUGUCAAAAUUAAAUCAAUAUGGCUACUGGAAGGCAAACAUUGAAUAUUAUUCUAUCAGGUUCUUAUGGUUUUAGAUCAUUUUAGUUGUUGUACAAAGAUUAAUUUAACAUUUUCUCUGGAAGUAUUAAUUUAGAAAGAUAAUAUGCCUCAUUGGUGUUGUGUUUUGAAGUGUGAAAUGCAAAGUAAUCGUGAUAAAGUUAGCUUUUACCACUUGCCAUCAGUGCUACAUUCUAAGCACAAAACUGAACCAAUUUAACUAAAUAAGUUAUAGUUAUCAUCUGAGAGACAACAACAAUGGUAAAAUGCAAUAAAAUAUAAAGAUUUUACUAGCAAAAUGGAAAUUCCCCUGUAAUCAUCUUAUAUCUGGUAAGUUACAACAUUUGAACAUUAACGAUUUUUGAAGAUGUUAACAGUCUAAUCUUGUAGGAAAACCAGCCGACUUAACUGAUAAUAACAAUCCAGAUUGGGUUCCUUCAAUAAAUAUGGGGUAUAUAAACACAAUGAAAUGAGUUCCCCAAAAUCUAAAAUGGGAAUUAAGGUACCAAAGGAGAAUUAAAAGAAAAGGGUACCUACAAGAAAAAAUUGCUUUUUUAUUCCUCUUGAAAUGAUUUAUAAGACACUGGACUGUCUUAUAUUCUACAAAUACUAGAAUCAGCUGAGAGAAGUGGUCUACAAAAACCCAGGAAGGAAACGGAAUAUGUGGCUACGAAAGGCAAAAGAAAGGUUUACAAAGCAAAUGUGACACAUUUUUUUGAAAUAUUUAGGAAUAUCAGUAAAUUGCAUUAAAAAAAUGUAUGAAAAGAUUUUGUUCAAUAAAAAUGUUUAUAUUUA